UUAAAAUCCGCGUUUCUCCGAGUAACUGCCUCCAGGAACAAUAAUAUGUGAGCAAUGAGAUCAACAAUGAUGACUCAUUUUCAUCGGAGAAGUACAGAUCCAAGUGAAAGACAGCUGUAAAGACAAACCUUGUUGCCAAUGGCGCGGCCAAAGCCACAUGGAACUGCUGCGACAUCAAGA